AGACGGAGGGAGCAAGCGUUGUCCGGAAUUACUGGGCGUAAAGAGCUCGUAGGCGGGAAUUUAAGUCUGGGAGUAAAUGCAUCGGCUUAACCGAUGAUUCAUCUUGGAUACUGGAUUUCUUGAGGGCAGGAGAGGAAAGGGGAAUUCCUGGUGUAGCGGUGAAAUGCGUAGAUAUCAGGAGGAACACCUGUGGCGAAGGCGCCUUUCUGGUCUGUUCCUGACGCUGAGGAGCGAAAGCCAGGGGAGCGAACGGGAUUAGAUACCCCGGUAGUCCUGGCUGUAAACGAUGGAUACUAGGUGUAGGAGGUAUCGACUCCUUCUGUGCCGUAGCAAACGCAAUAAGUAUCCCGCCUGGGGAGUACGGCCGCAAGGUUGAA
rnacentral:rRNA from 1 species